rnacentral:lncRNA from 1 species
GUACGCAGAUGACACGAAUGCCUUUUUCAGUGCUGAUACAAUGGCCGAUCUUCAAGUUACUGUAGCUAAUGAUUUAAGACAUCUGGAACUGCGGCUCCAUGAAAACAAGCUUGACUUAAACGCAAGGCACCACGCUGGAAUGUGUCAAAACACAAAAAUUUCUAGGAGUAUGGUUUGAGGAAAACAUGUCAUGGAAUUCACAUGUAUCAAAACUUGUCUCUGAAUUAGGCAUAACUGUAGGCUGCAUGUAUAAGCUAUCAGACCUUGUACCGUUAUGGCUUAAAAAGGCUAUAUACUACGCCCAUUUCCAUUCUGUGUUAUCCUACUGCGCACUAGUAAGGGCAAAAACAUCUGCUCAGAACCUCAACAAACUAGAGAUAUUACAGAAAAAAGUUCUUAGAAUAUUUGAAAAUUUUUAUGG